rnacentral:snRNA from 1 species
AUCGCUUCUCGGCCUUUUGGCUAAGAUCAAGUGUAGUAAUCAUUUGUUGCAUUAAGCUUCUGAUCAUUUGGUGGUUACUUGUUACUAGAGCAUAAUUUAACUCACCCUGACUGAUACAGCAAUAGUGGAAGUCAAGGGAGUGGAUGGCUU